CCUACGGGAGGCAGCAGUGGGGAAUAUUGCACAAUGGGGGAAACCCUGAUGCAGCGACGCCGCGUGAGUGAAGAAGUAUUUCGGUAUGUAAAGCUCUAUCAGCAGGGAAGAAAAUGACGGUACCUGAUUAAGAAGCCCCGGCUAACUACGUGCCAGCAGCCGCGGCAAUACGUAGGGGGCAAGCGUUAUCCGGAUUUACUGGGUGUAAAGGGGGCGUAGGCGGUGAUGCAAGUCAGAAGUGAAAGCCCGGGGCUCAACUCCGGGACUGCUUUUGAAACUGUGUGACUGGAGUGCAGGAGCGGUAGGCGGAAUUUCUGGUGUAGCGGUGAAAUGCGUAGAUAUCAGGAGGAACACCAGUGGCGAAGGCAGCUUACUGGUCUGUAACUGACGUUGAGGCUCGAAAGCGUGGGGAGCAAACAGGAUUAGAUACCCGGGUAGUC
rnacentral:rRNA from 1 species